rnacentral:lncRNA from 1 species
UUCCUCAUUCUCAGUAUCCACUACCACAGCUUUUCUCUUAGCUAUUAACGCAUUAGCCUUGUCCAAGCUAAGGGAGGUAUUGGUAGUAGUACGCAUAGCUAAAGCAACGUCAGCUGCCAUCCCUUUUAUUCCAAAUCCUGACAAAAAGAAGGAUUUAAUUUUGUUAUAAGGGUUUAUUAUAUGUAUCCAAAAAACAUAUACAAAAAGAGAUAUAUACAGUGUAUUUUCACUAUCCACCCAUGUAAGGAAGAAAUAGACUUCCAAGUUCUAUCUUCUUUAGGAGCAACCUUCAAAAUCGAAUCUACCCAACCACGGAAGUUGGGAAUAGGCUCCACAUCUCCCAUGGUUGCUACAAAAAACCAAAAAGGGUUAAAAUUAGAGAGAAAAUCAAAACCUCAGAAAAUAGGUACGGGGAAGUAAGCAGAAACUUACGUGCGAAGUUCCACUUCUCAAGGAAGGGAAUGUUUGAUUCACGUAGCAAAUCCAUAUGAACAACAAUAUAACGAAGAUACCACCCACGGUCUUUAUCAUCAUCGGCGUUUACUAAAACUUUCUUACUUCUUGCAGUUAAGGUAAAAUCUCUAUGGCGCAGUAGGCUGGGAUGGUAUAAAUGGAUGAGAUGGGAAAAUGUAUAAUUGAAUUUCAAUUUAGUAGACAAAAAUCUCAAACAAGCUACAACCCUCCAUACUAAAGGGCCAACUUGAGCCAAGCAAAUGUUGAAAAAUCGACGGAAAUUAAAGAUAACUGGAUCUAUGGCAGGUUUGAAUCCUAAAAUGAAGGGGUAGGUGUAAACAAAAGAAAAUCCCUGUAUAUAGGAUGAAAUUCUCUGACUUAUGGAAGGAACUGAUAAACGAACACCCUCUUUCAAAUUGCAGUCUUUUCUAAUAAUAGGGACUGUGAGUUCAUUAUAAGAGAGGGGUAACGGUCAGCCUUUUCCAAUUUCGCAAUUUUCUUUUGAAGAGAUGUUCUAUCACUCGCAAAAGACAAAUCAUUCGGUAUAAUUUUUUCAACUGUGGGUUCUAGAUAAGGGUCUGAAACUUCUUUACCUUACAAAGAGGGAGUUUUUGAAGAGGAACCUUUAACACUAGAACUUAAAGAAGAAGGAGCAGAACCAGUUAAACCUCCACGUGUAGAUCGCAAACUUCAAAGUCUUCCUCCUCUGCCUCUUGUAUGUUUGAUUGGAGCAGAUACAUUAGGAAAUUGAUCGAAACGUAGAAUAUUUUUGGGGUUAGGGUUUGGAGAUGCCAUUGGUAGAUAAGCUUGAAGUGAAGAGGAGUAAAAGAAGGAAAAGGUAUGAUUGAUGAAAAUCGAUGAAGAAGAUGACAAAGGAAGUGUGAAUUAAAAUGUUAUAUGGAAAUAACCAUCAAAAUUAAAAGCUGCAAUGAUGGAAACCAUAUAUUAAAGAUAACUAUCACUUCGUAAAUAGAGAAAGUUGAACAAGCCUAGAAAAGUGGGUAAAAAAUUGCAGAUCCAAUAAGAAGAUGACACGUGUAUGGAGCAUUAAAUGAGAAAGACAGAUGGGACGUUAAUACUGUUACACGCAUUAAUUGUGAAAAAAAAUUUCUUUUAUGAAGAUACACUUCCUAGAUAUUUAAUUGAUAAAUAAAUAAGAAGUGGGGGGACUAUCUGUAUUGGGAAAAAACUGAAUUAGAAUUAAAGAUGAUGUGGCAUGACACAUGGACUGGUCAAAUAGUCAAAGCGCAAUAAAACAUUAAAAGGCACGAAAGACAACAUGCAUAAGAGGAGAAAUGAAAAUAGACACGAGAGGUAGUCUCAGAUAUGCGUCUCGUAUCUAUUUUAGUCAUUUAAUACCAACGGAUAAAAAGGGCACUGAAGACAAGAAUAUGAUGACAAAAAGUAGUGUACGUUCAUUAUUAAAUACUUGAUAUGUUAGAUAAUCAGUAUUUAAUAGCAAUGAUUGUGUAACGUCUCAUUAAAUUCUCUUUAUUAUUUAGACUAAGCCGUUACUCCUUGACAGUUCUAUAAAAGGAGGAGGUUUCAUGAUUUGUAAACACACAGAACAUUCUCAACAUCAUAUUGAAAUACUAAAUUCUUAUUGAUUUAUUUUUAUUCUUUGAAAGCCUAUUUAUUUUGGUCUCUAGAUUAUCAGUAACUCGAUUUCUUUUCUCUAAAUUCAAGCUUUGACCAAAUUAUAUUUUAUUACACCUCCUUUUUCACUAUACCCGCAAGGGCGUAAAGGAGUUUUCCAAUUAAAGGACAAUCAGAACAGGAUUUGGUUAUUAAUUAUUCAGAGUUGUCACUUGGGAGAUUUAUGGUGUCUCAAGACACUGAUUUAAAUCCCGAACCGAGGAAGAUUAUGACGCUGUUAGAGUCUGCGAACCAGAAAUCCGAGUAAGGAAUUCUGUUAACUCGGGAGAAGGUGUUAGGCAUUCCCGGUCUCCGUGGUUCUAGCACGGUCGCUUAACUGAUACAUUUGAUUUUAUCUGAUUUUAAUACAUGCUCACGUAUGUGCCUUUAUUUAUAAACCGCUUUCCAUAAUUAUUUAUUUUAAAAGAAUUGCGAGUCAUGAAAACGCGUCUCCGACCACGCCGCCAUCAAGGCACCCGUGGUCGUCAACACAUUUCGACUUCGUCGAGAUUUGGAUUUGGGUCGCAUCAAUGCGCACCCGAGUUUAAGAAGUAACUUGAUUAAAACGCGCUUAAAGGUACUAACGUAAUAUUAUUUUGGGAAAGGCCGUUAAAAUUCCCUAAAUGGACCUUCCAAAUUCUAAUAGUUUUAAAUAACCACUUAUUGAGGGCCCCACAUUUAGUCUUGUUUAGUGAGGCUCGUUUGCAUUUUGAACCCCUUUUUAGAUCAUUAUUUGUUAAUAAGAAUACGACAUCAUGAAAACGCGUUUCUAAUCCCGUCUCCAUCAAGGCACCAAUGGUCGUCAACACAUUUCGACUUCGCCAAGAUUUGGAUUUGAGUUGCAUCAAUGCACACGCGAGUUUAAGUAGGUAUUUUAAUUAAAUGCGUCUAAUGAUUCUAGUGCGUUAUUAUUUCGGGGAAGGCCGUGAAAUUCGCUAAAACGACCCUCCCAUAUUCUAAAUUAAUUCUUAUAAUCAAUCAUCGAGGGCCCCACACUUAUUUUUGUUUGGCGAGGCUCGUCUUAAAUUAUUACUAACAAUUUAUAACUUAAGUAAACCAGACUACGAUAUUUCAUGAUUUGAUUAAAUACUUUCUAACGCUUGAGCGAAUUUGCAAAUCAAUUAUGGAAAAGGUGAAUAUUGGGUAAUAAUGAAUCUACAGGUUGGCCUAACUCCAUAUCAGGAAUUGAAUUCUUAUUUUUAUAAUGUCUAAAAGCUUAGCUGAUAAUAGUAGGCAUCUUACAAAAUAAAUCACCUAACAUGAACGAACAAAAUUAAACUUUGGAUGUAACCCAGAAGCACGUCGAAGCAAACAGUAGUAUACUAUAUCCCGUUAGAAUCCCAAAAUUGCCAUAUAAUAAUAACAUGCUCAAAACACCAAGUAUUUCAUCCAAAUAAUCUGAAUAUUUAGACUAUCAUGCAUAGGAUUACAAACACAAAUUAUUCACCAAAUCUAAUUUAUUUAGACAAGAGAAAUGGAAUGAAGUAACAGUAACCUUCUAACCUCGACAACCAACGGACAGAACCUCGACCAAUGACUUAACCAACGACGAACUCGAACGGACCUUCAACCGGAAGACCUCGAACCAAAACCUCGAUCCACGACCUUCGACGACGGGUAAAGGGUGGUCAGGUGGACUGACUGGCGGCGUUGGCGAGCCGGUUGAGGGCUAGCUGGAGGUUGUUUGGAUGAGAGAAAUGGCGGGUUACUGGACGUGAAGGAGCAGAAGUUUCUGGCCAAAUCCGUGCAAGUAGCGUUGUCAUUCGCCGGUGAUCACUUCCGGCGAAGCAACAGCUCGAGUGAGGAACUGGUGAACGCCGACAUUGGUGGUUGGCGUGAGAGAAGAGAUCUCCGUUUGGUUUCCGGGGUAGUGGGGUGCGACGUGGAUGUAGUAUCAGGGGGGGUGUCUGGUGUUGAGCUGUUGAAGGUUUUAAGAAAGAUAGGUCAUUUGGUGAUGAAGCAGAACAAUGAAGAAGGGGUCCAUUUUUGGUUUAACGGCGCUCUUUUUUUGAGUGUCUGUAUAUCCCAAAAA